rnacentral:lncRNA from 1 species
UAGCCUUCGGGGGUGGGGAUGGCCAACUUUGUCCGCCGGACUCGGAAUGGCGCGAGACUUUGCGAGGCACCUCCGUGUGCCAAAAAUAGGCCGCGGACACAGCCGCUCCCAAAAAUAACUGCCUGAAGGCCGGGGCGCCAAGUUCGUCCAGCGGAAAAAAGCCAGAAAAACGGGUGGGCUAUAGCCUUGGGGGGUGGGGCUGGCCAACUUCGUCCGCCGGACUCGGAAUGCCGCGAGACUUUAUGAGGGGCCUCCGUGUGCCAAAAAUAGGCUCCGGGCAAAGCCAAGCCCAAAAAUAACAGCCCGAAGGCCGGGGCGCCAAGUUCGUCCAGCGGAAAAAGGCCACAAAAACGGGUGGGCUAUAGCCUUGGGGGGUGGGGCUGGCCAACUUCGUCCGCCGGAAUCGGAAUGGCGUGAGACUUUGCGAGGCGUCUCCGUGUGCCAAAAAUAGGCUGCGGGCACAACCGCGCCCGAAAAUAACCGCUCGAAGGCCGGGGCGCCAAGUUCGUCCAGCGCAAAAAGGCCAUAAAAACGGGUGGGCUAUAGCCUUGGGGGGUGGGCAGGCCAAAUUCGUCCGCCGGACUCGGAAUGGCGCGAGACUUUGCGAGGCGCCUCUGUGUGCCAAAAAUAGGCCGCGGGGACAGCCGCGCUCAAAAAUAACCGCCCGAAGGCCGGGGCGCCAAGUUCGUCCAGCGGAAAAAAGCCACAAAAAC